rnacentral:rRNA from 1 species
GAACCGUACGAACGUUAUUCGGGAAUCACUGGGGCUUAAAGGGUGCGUAGGCGGCCUGGUAAGUUGGGUGUGAAAGCCCUCGGCUCAACCGAGGGAAUUGCGCCCAAUACUGUCAGGCUCGAGGGAGACAGAGGUGAGCGGAACUGAUGGUGGAGCGGUGAAAUGCGUUGAUAUUAUCAGGAACACCGGUUGCGAAGGCGGCUCACUGGGUCUCUUCUGACGCUGAGGCACGAAAGCUAGGGUAGCGAACGGGAUUAGAUACCCCGGUAGUCCUAGCUGUAAACGAUGAGCACUAGGUCGGAGGCCCUUCCACAGGCUUCCGGUCGUAGCGAAAGUGUUAAGUGCUCCGCCUGGGGAGUAUGGUCGCAAAGGCUGA